ensembl:snoRNA
AGCACUGUGUUUAAACCUGUGGAUGAGAAUUUUCCCCAUUCUUGGUUAUGCUGUAGUGCCAAAAAAUCCCUGCCUCUUCCUUGCUGCACAGCUGACUUUGCGUCAUUCUGCUGUUGCUACGUGGAGUUGAGGAACAUAA